rnacentral:lncRNA from 1 species
CUGAAACAAAGGACCAACUUCACAUGGGAAGCUCUUUGUGCCAAAUUAGAGCCCUCAUUUUUCCCUUAGGCUCCAUUCAGAUGUACAUAGAAGGCUUGUAUGGUAGAAAUAGAAGCCAAUACAAAAGCAUCAAGAUUUCUGUUUAAUAACUUCAUUAAAUCCAAGUACAGUUGGCUGAUAUAUUAGCAGCACCCUUGUCUCAUGUACAAAGUCUGUAAGGGAAGUAGGGCAUAUAGCACGUGUUCAAUCUCAUACCGGGGAAGAGGGGUUAACGUGAGCCUGAAAGCUGAGAGGAGGUCUUCAUAGCAUGCUGGACCGACGUCGGACAACAAGAGUGCUCUGGGCAAAGCUACUGAAGAAGAGCUAGAUGAUCUGACACGGACAAAGCUCUGAAGAGAACUAUGACUACGGAGAGAGAGGCAAAGCACUAGGAAAACAUAAGACAGGAUUUAAAAAAAAAAAGUGAAUCUCAGAGAGAAAAAUUACUUCAUGGUUUUUUAAUAUUUGCUGAGAAAGCUUACUAAUCCACUCAGAGAUUGAGAGAAAUUAAAGACAUCCUGUUGGUUGCAUCUAUUUUUUGUUAAAUAUUAACGAUUUGGGACAUUCACACCACAAACUGCAAUGUUGUUUUAUCUGGGAGACAACAAGCUGCUGAAAAGAGGCCAAAAGGACAGAGAUGCAUGCUCGUAUUCAGAGUUGUUUGCCUAUAGGAUGGUGAAGAAACAGAACACCAGAAAAGCCCGCACCUGCAGUACUUUACUGGUAAACUGACCACACAAGGCAUGAGGCCAAAAAUAACUAGGAAGAUUCCCUGCAUGCAGUGAAAAAAAUGGAAUGAAUCUUAAAAUCCAGAUUCUGCUAGAUUGCCUUGUGUAAUAAUUGGGUAAACAAAAUCACAGAUACAGAAGCAAAUGAAGAAGCGGCCAUUCUGAACAUCUCUUCUCUAUCUGAGGAGCACAGCAAAAAGCAAUAGCCUCCGCCAACAUCGGGCUGCUGGGAGAAGCCAUAAUAAUACUAUAUAUUUGUUUGGUACAAAGUGGUGUCCAUAUACAUUCACGUCCCAAUCAGCGGCGCAAUUACUGUUGUUCACCUCUCCGUUUCAUUUCCUUGGCUGAGCGAUCCUGGGAUUUUGGACUGUGACUUCACUAUUCACUCGGCUCCUUCAUUGGUAUUGUGUAGACAUCAUCAGCUCUUAAUACUUCUGUGCUAUGCAGAACAAAUAAU